rnacentral:rRNA from 1 species
AGUCGAACGGUGAAGCCAAGCUUGCUUGGUGGAUCAGUGGCGAACGGGUGAGUAACACGUGAGCAACCUGCCCUGGACUCUGGGAUAAGCGCUGGAAACGGCGUCUAAUACUGGAUAUGAGACGUGAUCGCAUGGUCGUGUUUGGAAAGAUUUUUCGGUCUGGGAUGGGCUCGCGGCCUAUCAGCUUGUUGGUGAGGUAAUGGCUCACCAAGGCGUCGACGGGUAGCCGGCCUGAGAGGGUGACCGGCCACACUGGGACUGAGACACGGCCCAGACUCCUACGGGAGGCAGCAGUGGGGAAUAUUGCACAAUGGGCGGAAGCCUGAUGCAGCAACGCCGCGUGAGGGAUGACGGCCUUCGGGUUGUAAACCUCUUUUAGCAGGGAAGAAGCGAAAGUGACGGUACCUGCAGAAAAAGCGCCGGCUAACUACGUGCCAGCAGCCGCGGUAAUACGUAGGGCGCAAGCGUUAUCCGGAAUUAUUGGGCGUAAAGAGCUCGUAGGCGGUUUGUCGCGUCUGCUGUGAAAUCCCGAGGCUCAACCUCGGGCCUGCAGUGGGUACGGGCAGACUAGAGUGCGGUAGGGGAGAUUGGAAUUCCUGGUGUAGCGGUGGAAUGCGCAGAUAUCAGGAGGAACACCGAUGGCGAAGGCAGAUCUCUGGGCCGUAACUGACGCUGAGGAGCGAAAGGGUGGGGAGCAAACAGGCUUAGAUACCCUGGUAGUCCACCCCGUAAACGUUGGGAACUAGUUGUGGGGACCAUUCCACGGUUUCCGUGACGCAGCUAACGCAUUAAGUUCCCCGCCUGGGGAGUACGGCCGCAAGGCUAAAACUCAAAGGAAUUGACGGGGACCCGCACAAGCGGCGGAGCAUGCGGAUUAAUUCGAUGCAACGCGAAGAACCUUACCAAGGCUUGACAUAUACGAGAACGGGCCAGAAAUGGUCAACUCUUUGGACACUCGUAAACAGGUGGUGCAUGGUUGUCGUCAGCUCGUGUCGUGAGAUGUUGGGUUAAGUCCCGCAACGAGCGCAACCCUCGUUCUAUGUUGCCAGCACGUAAUGGUGGGAACUCAUGGGAUACUGCCGGGGUCAACUCGGAGGAAGGUGGGGAUGACGUCAAAUCAUCAUGCCCCUUAUGUCUUGGGCUUCACGCAUGCUACAAUGGCCGGUACAAAGGGCUGCAAUACCGUGAGGUGGAGCGAAUCCCAAAAAGCCGGUCCCAGUUCGGAUUGAGGUCUGCAACUCGACCUCAUGAAGUCGGAGUCGCUAGUAAUCGCAGAUCAGCAACGCUGCGGUGAAUACGUUCCCGGGUCUUGUACACACCGCCCGUCAAGUCAUGAAAGUCGGUAACACCUGAAGCCGGUGGCCCAACCCUUGUGGAGGGAGCCG